CUCAUUAAAUCAGUUAUAGUUUAUUUGAUGGUCUCUUUUGUCUUUUUUUACCUUACUUGGAUAACCGUGGUAAUUCUAGAGCUAGUACAUGCGCAAGGUCCCGAGCGCGGAGGGUAGGGCUUCACGGCUCUACUCCUGCAUGCGUAGAGGGAUGUAUUUAUUAGGUUAAAAACCAAGCGUAGUCAGCAAUGGCUACAAACUCCCCUCGGUGAUUCAUAGUAACUCUUUCGGAUCGCAUUCAUG
rnacentral:rRNA from 1 species